rnacentral:rRNA from 1 species
AAAUUGAAGAGUUUGAUCAUGGCUCAGAUUGAACGCUGGCGGCAGGCCUAACACAUGCAAGUCGAGCGGUAGCACAGAGAGCUUGCUCUCGGGUGACGAGCGGCGGACGGGUGAGUAAUGUCUGGGAAACUGCCUGAUGGAGGGGGAUAACUACUGGAAACGGUAGCUAAUACCGCAUAAUGUCGCAAGACCAAAGUGGGGGACCUUCGGGCCUCAUGCCAUCAGAUGUGCCCAGAUGGGAUUAGCUAGUAGGUGGGGUAAUGGCUCACCUAGGCGACGAUCCCUAGCUGGUCUGAGAGGAUGACCAGCCACACUGGAACUGAGACACGGUCCAGACUCCUACGGGAGGCAGCAGUGGGGAAUAUUGCACAAUGGGCGCAAGCCUGAUGCAGCCAUGCCGCGUGUGUGAAGAAGGCCUUCGGGUUGUAAAGCACUUUCAGCGGGGAGGAAGGCGGUGAGGUUAAUAACCUCACCGAUUGACGUUACCCGCAGAAGAAGCACCGGCUAACUCCGUGCCAGCAGCCGCGGUAAUACGGAGGGUGCAAGCGUUAAUCGGAAUUACUGGGCGUAAAGCGCACGCAGGCGGUCUGUCAAGUCGGAUGUGAAAUCCCCGGGCUCAACCUGGGAACUGCAUUCGAAACUGGCAGGCUAGAGUCUUGUAGAGGGGGGUAGAAUUCCAGGUGUAGCGGUGAAAUGCGUAGAGAUCUGGAGGAAUACCGGUGGCGAAGGCGGCCCCCUGGACAAAGACUGACGCUCAGGUGCGAAAGCGUGGGGAGCAAACAGGAUUAGAUACCCUGGUAGUCCACGCCGUAAACGAUGUCGAUUUGGAGGUUGUGCCCUUGAGGCGUGGCUUCCGGAGCUAACGCGUUAAAUCGACCGCCUGGGGAGUACGGCCGCAAGGUUAAAACUCAAAUGAAUUGACGGGGGCCCGCACAAGCGGUGGAGCAUGUGGUUUAAUUCGAUGCAACGCGAAGAACCUUACCUGGUCUUGACAUCCACAGAACUUUCCAGAGAUGGAUUGGUGCCUUCGGGAACUGUGAGACAGGUGCUGCAUGGCUGUCGUCAGCUCGUGUUGUGAAAUGUUGGGUUAAGUCCCGCAACGAGCGCAACCCUUAUCCUUUGUUGCCAGCGGUUAGGCCGGGAACUCAAAGGAGACUGCCAGUGAUAAACUGGAGGAAGGUGGGGAUGACGUCAAGUCAUCAUGGCCCUUACGACCAGGGCUACACACGUGCUACAAUGGCAUAUACAAAGAGAAGCGACCUCGCGAGAGCAAGCGGACCUCAUAAAGUAUGUCGUAGUCCGGAUUGGAGUCUGCAACUCGACUCCAUGAAGUCGGAAUCGCUAGUAAUCGUAGAUCAGAAUGCUACGGUGAAUACGUUCCCGGGCCUUGUACACACCGCCCGUCACACCAUGGGAGUGGGUUGCAAAAGAAGUAGGUAGCUUAACCUUCGGGAGGGCGCUUACCACUUUGUGAUUCAUGACUGGGGUGAAGUCGUAACAAGGUAACCGUAGGGGAACCUGCGGUUGGAUCACCUCCUUACCUUAAAGAA